rnacentral:rRNA from 1 species
UAGGGAAUCUUCCGCAAUGGACGCAAGUCUGACGGAGCAACGCCGCGUGAGUGAAGAAGGAUUUCGGUUCGUAAAACUCUGUUGUUAGAGAAGAACAGCGCAUAGAGUAACUGUUAUGCGUGUGACGGUAUCUAACCAGAAAGCCACGGCUAACUACGUGCCAGCAGCCGCGGUAAUACGUAGGUGGCAAGCGUUGUCCGGAAUCACUGGGCGUAAAGGGUUCGCAGGCGGAAAUGCAAGUCAGGUGUAAAAGGCAGUAGCUUAACUACUGUAAGCAUUUGAAACUGCAUAUCUUGAGAAGAGUAGAGGUAAGUGGAAUUUUUAGUGUAGCGGUGAAAUGCGUAGAUAUUAAAAAGAAUACCGGUGGCGAAGGCGACUUACUGGGCUCAUUCUGACGCUGAGGAACGAAAGCGUGGGUAGCAAACAGG